GUUGAACGCUGGCAGCAGGCUUAACACAUGCAAGUCGAGCGGAGAUGAGGUGCUUGCACCUUAUCUUAGCGGCGGACGGGUGAGUAAUGCUUAGGAAUCUGCCUAUUAGUGGGGGACAACAUUCCGAAAGGAAUGCUAAUACCGCAUACGUCCUACGGGAGAAAGCAGGGGAUCUUCGGACCUUGCGCUAAUAGAUGAGCCUAAGUCGGAUUAGCUAGUUGGUGGGGUAAAGGCCUACCAAGGCGACGAUCUGUAGCGGGUCUGAGAGGAUGAUCCGCCACACUGGGACUGAGACACGGCCCAGACUCCUACGGGAGGCAGCAGUGGGGAAUAUUGGACAAUGGGGGGAACCCUGAUCCAGCCAUGCCGCGUGUGUGAAGAAGGCCUUAUGGUUGUAAAGCACUUUAAGCGAGGAGGAGGCUACUGAGACUAAUACUCUUGGAUAGUGGACGUUACUCGCAGAAUAAGCACCGGCUAACUCUGUGCCAGCCGCCGCAGUAACAC
rnacentral:rRNA from 1 species